rnacentral:pre_miRNA from 7 species
UUCUUAGUAACUUACCUUGAGAUGUAAGACCCCCUUUCAGGGACCCCCACUCUAGUCUCUGGAGAGAGAGUGCACCCAAAGAAACAUGAGAAUCC